rnacentral:rRNA from 1 species
CCUACGGGAGGCAGCAGUAGGGAAUCUUGCUCAAUGGACGAAAGCCUGAUGGAGCAACGCCGCGUGAGGGAUGAAGGUUUUCGGCUUGUAAAGUCCUUUUGUUAGAGAAGAUAGUUACAGUAUCUAACUGAUCAGCACCUGCUAACUACGUGCCAGCAGCCGCGGUAAUACGGAGGGGGCAAGCGUUCAUCGGAAUUACUGUGCGUAAAGAGCGCGUAGGCGGGAUAGUAAGUCAGAUGUGAAAUCCUAUGGCUUAACCAUAGAACUGCGUUUGAAACUGUUAUUCUAGAGUAUGGGAGAGGUAGGUGGAACUCUUGGUGUAGCGGUAAAAUGCGUAGAGAUAAAGAGGAACACUCAUUGCGAAGGCGACCUGCUAGAACAUAACUGACGCUGAUGCGCGAAAGCAUGGGUAGCAAACAGGAUUAGAUACCCGGGUAGUC